GAUCUUGGACCACGAGUGAAUGAGUUUAGAGUUCUCAGUUUGGCUUGUGGAGUCACUGUCUGCCUGAGGCUGUUUGGCAGCUGGCACUGGGGCUUUCAUUCAGCACAGACAAGGGCAUGCUGCUCUCCUCCUGGCUUGGAGCCAGGCCAAAGCCACUAAGUGGUGGUAUUCAGGGAAGGUAAGGCUAUCUUUCUGUCUGUCUUCAAACAACAUCUCUCUUCCUUAUUAGUUCAGAUAAGUGUGUAUCACAGAGGAUAUCCUAAAGCUGCUGCACCAGGGGAUGCUAGUGCCUUGCCUUUGCAGUGCUACAGCUAUACUGAGACAGAAGCAAAACCUGCUUCGUGAGGCAUGAGCACUCAAUCUUUGCAAAGUGUUCCUAGAAAAACUGGAGAUCUUCACAGAGAGCCUGAAGUUUCCAAAGAUUCAGCCUGCUAACAGCCACACAUCCCUGUACCUUGAAGUACCAUGCUAUGGCCCACCAAUACAACUUCUCACCCUCCUAUUUUUCAGCUCUGCUGUUUAAAGAUUUGUCAUCUCUUAAUCUGACAUCUGCAAAGUUGAAUACAAAGGCAAGUCUUGUCUUUUCUUGAUCGUGCAAUGACUUUUUCCUCAACCUCAUUUUUAACCUGUUCUAUAGAUUUGGCUUCUUAGUGUGCAGAGUGGAUUUUCCUGAGUGGACUACCAGCCUUUCUCUUCCUUUGAGGAAGACCAUUCACCUGGCAAGAUGCAACAUGAAGCCAAUGAAGUUUUGGGCAUACUGCUUGCACGAUAUAGUUCUGUUUGCUGAUAUAUAUCUGCCCUCCAGAACCAUGUUACAUGCAGAGUUGGGAAGUAAGCUGAAAGCAUAGGAAUGUUCUUAGAGUAAUCCUUGCAGAAGGUAAGAAACAAGAAAGGAAAAUUUCCUAUGGACUUUUAGAGAACUUGGUGCUUGAGAACAGAACUCUGCUGUGUUGCUUUGACAGGCUGAGGAAGAUGUUAAAUACCACAUGGGAAUAAAUGGAGGAGAGUCUGUCGUAAGUUCUUUAUGCUCUGGAGAGAGAUGUGUGAAUGGUGAGGAAAAGAGAGAGAAUUCAUUGACAAAGAGCUGCCCUUAGAGGUGGAUGUCAGAUGACAGUUUAUGUUACCUAUGUCAACAGAAAGCAGGAAAUCAAGCCCAAACUCCUCUCAGCACUGGUGUCUUCAUAACUUGGAAGUCAGCAAAGUGGUUGUGAAAGGGUUUGCAGACGUAUUAGUGCUCCUCCUGUGGGCAGUAUUGCCUUGGAGUGCCUCUUGCUGUCCUUCACAUCUGAUUGCAAACGAAAGCUGUUGCCUAUUGUUUCAUUUUUGCAGUCUCUUCCAUGAUCUUUGUAUCUGCUGCUUGUAUGAACUGCCUUAUUGUCUCCUGCUGCACCUUGUGGACAGUAAGUGGUUCUCCCCCCUUCCUUCCUACAGCUUCAUUCUUUAUGCAGAGCUCAGAAGUGCUGUCGUGCGCUGCUGUUGCUUGCAGGUGUCUCACCCAGACAGUAUGUCAUACUUUGAUGUAGUGUAUUGAUACAGUAAUGGUAUUUCUGAGGGAGCCCUAAUGGUGUGUUCUUAAUGAUAGAACUUCCUGGCAUUGUCCGGUAGACUGCACUAGAGAUUUUACAUACUGCUGUAUGUAAAAAACUGUAUUUUACAUACAGGGGUCCAUGAACAGGUCCCUCUGACAGAGGCCCAGAAUAGGUGAACCCCAACUAUUUUUCCAUGCAUUAUGUUGAAAGUGAAGAGGAGAACAUUCAUAUUGCUGACAUGGCUAUAAGAAGACCAGAAAUGUUACGAAAAGACGCCCCAGGGUCUCUUUUUUGGAUCCAUAUGUGUCCCAGUGCUGUCUCUUGCAAAUUAAAGAAAGAGGUUUUGCAAAGGAAUGGGAUUUGGCUGGGAAAAGGAACGAAGUUUCUCCAUGGGCCAUUUACAGCCAAGAUCUUUUCAGUGACACAAUUCCACUAUGAAUUUUGAUGUCCACGGUUUGGAUUUUUCCAUUCUUGAUUGUUACUGUAUUUUUUUUUCCCCAGAUCUUUAUUCUGGCUUGGUAUGUGUUGAAUUUGUUCUGCGAGGUGCAAAUGAUGACACAAGGACCAAGGCUGAAAUACAUCAGUUCUUCUUUCUUGUUCUUAAGUGACGGGACAGUUUUGGGACAUGAAGUGGCAAAAAGCUACCAGAAUGGUUUUGUUACAGAAAUGGAGUAAAAUUUAGAUGAAGAACAGGAGGAGAAACAGACCAGAAGAGAGAGGCAAAGAAAAUGGGAAUAUAGAAAGAGAGGAAAAUUGAUAAAUAAAAAAAAAAAAAAAGAGAACUGACUAAAGCAAGAGAAGAGAGAGGGAGAUUCUCUCCUGAUUAGAAUUCAUGAACUCCAUUCUUACAUUAAGUCUAUAUAUGACACCUGGCCUUUAAUGUGAAGCUGCCUACGAGCAUUAAAAAUUAAAAGCAGAAGGUAGGAUCCAUCCAUCUCGGGCAGCGCUGCUCCCCUCCUAUCUGAGCUCUGCACAAAGCUAUUACACAUUGAUAAAUUAUUUUGGGUAAUAGCUGAGAUAUUACAUUGUUUCUGAGUGAAGGUAAAAUCUCUCCAUGACAUGGGCAUUUAUCAGGAGCGCAUUUCAUCCUAUUUAUUAUGGCCGAGACGAGAUCGCAGGCUGCGGGCAGAGCUGGCACGUCGUGCUGAUCACCUCCCCCAUCGCCUCCCUUCCCUCUGUCACUUAGAUGAUGGGAUAUUGAUGGAGCUCAUGACAAGUUAAUUAUUAACUAAAGAUAUGCAGUUCACCUUUGCCAGGGGAGGGGGCAUAGAAGAGAGCAACGAUAGUUCUUAAAAAAAUAAAUGUAUCCAUUGUAUCUUAGGAUUCUUCUUUCCACCUUCCUCUCCCUUCUACCUGUGGUAUUUUACAACACCCCCCCAGCAUAAUCGGGGUAAGGAUGUCCUAACAGACUGAAUAAGUCAGCUAUUCCUUUCCAUGGAGUGCUGGAGGUUCGCCUAAAUUCUAGCUGGCUUGCAGGACAAAGGCUGAAAGAGGAUGCCACAAAGUUCUUUUUACUCUGGACCUCAAUCUUCAGUCCCUGCCUGCACAAUGUAGCUGUGUGGACAUCACUGACAAAAUACUAAUGGUGGUAACACCUGGUGGUCCUGCUUGUCUUCCAAAGAUACAUUUCUGGAAUUCAAGAAUGUUAACCCUGUGUGUGCUCCUGUGGGGUACACAGCACCUCCUGUGGGAUCAACAAUUACUGGAGACCUAUGCAGUGAAGGAGGCUGCCUUGUGGAGUGGACCUUGCAGAUAGCUGGAACUAUAACCCAGUCCUUUGCUCCUGAGCGCAUUGAUGGAGGACUCUCAGGUGGGAUGAAGAGAAGGUCGCUGACUCCACCUUAUGCUUAGACGGGAGGAAAGAAAAGCCUGCUGUUUGUCCUGGCUUGCAAAGUUGCUUCUGGACAGCUCUGUGCUGCGUGGGCAGUGUUACACAGUCAACGGGCUUUCCACCAAGAAGGUCAAGUUUAAAUGGGGCAGGCCAGAGACCGCUGUUCCCAGAGAAGAAUGUGCCCAAAAGAGAAGAGCUGGUCACUUGGGAAGAAGUGCCUUUUGCAGAGGCUGACAGUCACAGAGGCCGUUUGUGUCCCAAGGCCCAGACUCUGGCACCUUUUGCCCCACGCAGAAGGACAGCUGUAUGGAGCUGACUGUGACUCCCAAGUUACAAACAAAUGGUAUAAAAAGCACCGACCAGAGCCCAAUUCCUG